rnacentral:rRNA from 1 species
GACGAACGCUGGCGGCGUGCUUAACACAUGCAAGUCGAGCGACUGCAUUCUUUUCGGAGGGUGUAUGGAGCGGCGAACGGGUGAGUAACACGUGAGUAAUCUGCCUUUGGCUUGGGAAUAACUUCGGGAAAUCGGGGCUAAUGCCUGAUGUUUACUGUCUGCUGCAUGGUGGGUGGUGGAAAGAUUUUUUGCCGAGGAGUGAGCUCGCGGUCUAUCAGCUUG